GGGGUUUCCAGGUGAACAAGUCCCUAAAGAGCUCAAUCAAGUGGGGAAAGAGUCACACAUAUCAACGUUUCACAGCUAAAAUGAUUUGGUGACAGUGAAUACAAUGUGGAGCACAGAGAACAGAGUGACAAAUAACGGCAUUUUCUGAGGUCUCACUGUUGCCCAAGCUGGAUUGCAAUGGCAUCAUCCUAGUUCCCUGCAGCCUAGAACUCCUGAGCUCAAGCAAUCCAUCCGCCUUAGCCUCCUGAGUAGCUGGAACUACAGGCAUGUGC
rnacentral:lncRNA from 1 species